GAUGAACGCUAGCGGCAGGCUUAAUACAUGCAAGUCGAGGGGCAGCAGGGAUAGCAAUAUUCGCUGGCGACCGGCGCACGGGUGCGUAACACGUAUACAAUCUGCCUUUAACAGGGGGAUAGCCCGGAGAAAUCCGGAUUAAUACCCCAUAAUAAAUUGAAUGGCAUCAUUUGAUUUUGAAAGCUCCGGCGGUUAGAGAUGAGUAUGCGUCUGAUUAGCUAGUUGGUGAGGUAACGGCUCACCAAGGCGACGAUCAGUAGGGGAUCUGAGAGGAUUAACCCCCACACGGAUACUGAGACACGGAUCCGACUCCUACGGGAGGCAGCAGUAAGGAAUAUUGGACAAUGCCCGC
rnacentral:rRNA from 1 species